rnacentral:rRNA from 1 species
AGGAAACGAGUGAGGCUCUGGGUCACCUCCCACCCGUGUUUAUCGUACCUUGUUGCUUCGGCGGGCCCGCCUCACGGCCGCCGGGGGGCAUCCGCCCCCGGGCCCGCGCCCGCCGAAGACACACAAACGAACUCUUGUCUGAAGAUUGCAGUCUGAGUACUUGACUAAAUCAGUUAAAACUUUCAACAACGGAUCUCUUGGUUCCGGCAUCGAUGAAGAACGCAGCGAAAUGCGAUAAGUAAUGUGAAUUGCAGAAUUCAGUGAAUCAUCGAGUCUUUGAACGCACAUUGCGCCCCCUGGUAUUCCGGGGGGCAUGCCUGUCCGAGCGUCAUUGCUGCCCUCAAGCACGGCUUGUGUGUUGGGCUCUCGCCCCCCGCUUCCGGGGGGCGGGCCCGAAAGGCAGCGGCGGCACCGCGUCCGGUCCUCGAGCGUAUGGGGCUUCGUCACCCGCUCUGUAGGCCCGGCCGGCGCCCGCCGGCGAACACCAUCAAUCUUAACCAGGUUGACCUCGGAUCAGGUAGGGAUACCCGCUGAACUUAAGCAUAUCAUAAGGAGCGGUGGAA